rnacentral:rRNA from 1 species
CCUACGGGAGGCAGCAGUGAGGAAUAUUGGUCAAUGGACGAGAGUCUGAACCAGCCAAGUAGCGUGAAGGAUGACUGCCCUAUGGGUUGUAAACUUCUUUUAUAUGGGAAUAAAAUGUUCCACGUGUGGGAUUUUGUAUGUACCAUAUGAAUAAGGAUCGGCUAACUCCGUGCCAGCAGCCGCGGUAAUACGGAGGAUCCGAGCGUUAUCCGGAUUUAUUGGGUUUAAGGGGAGCGUAGGUGGAUUGUUAAGUCAGUUGUGAAAGUUUGCGGCUCAACCGUAAAAUUGCAGUUGAAACUGGCAGUCUUGAGUACAGUAGAGGUGGGCGGAAUGCGUGGUGUAGCGGUGAAAUGCUUAGAUAGCACGAAGAACUCCGAUUGCGAAGGCAGUUCACUGGACUGCAACUGACACUGAGGCUCGAAAGUGUGGGUAUCAAACAGGAUUAGAUACCCCUGUAGUC